GAUUAGCAUUCCUUCCUGUAAUGCUCUCCUUGCUUCUGCUAUUUCUGCUUCUGAACUUAGAAUAAUAAAACUACCAAAUGGAAGCUGGGCACAUGGUCACCCAACUGGAGACUCCAUUUUUCAUCUUUCCUUGCAGUGUGGGGAUGUGAGGCUGGAAAUGGAAUAAGACAGUAACCCAGCCUCAACCAGAGAUGAAGCCAACACUGUAGGAAUGGUGCAAAAACAAGUUGGAAGUCACAUGGGGUGCCCUGUGGAGCAGAGCCACCCCACUCACCUGACUACAUUCCUCUGGACUAUUAGAUGGGAAAACUGGAGCCCAAAGGAUGGAAAUACUGAACCCAUGGGCUCUGUCACUAGACUGCAUCCCAGGGCCUCAACAUAAUAUAUUCUUAAUCAUACUGGGGUAACCUAUUAGAAAGAACCCUGUCCUGGAAUCCUGGAAAAGAGGCCCUGCUAGGAGCUGACCUUGGACAAAUCACUCCCUUCUCUGAACCUCACUGUUCAGGGGGCUGAGAACAGAGGGUCCCUAAGGAAGAGUGUUGUAUGAGAACAGUCUCCGCUCUUGACCCAAGCAAACCUGGCUUCAAAUCUCAACUCCUGUGGCUGACUAGCUGUAUGACCUUGACCUUUCUCAGUUUCCUCAUCUAUAAAGCAGGAUUAAUAAAAGGUACCUAUCUAAUAUGACUGUUCUGAGAAUAAAAUGAAAUAAACUACAUAGGUGAUUUGACAUUGUGCUUGGUUUACAGUAGGUGUUUAAUAAAAGGAAAUUGCUAUAUUAUUA
rnacentral:lncRNA from 10 species